rnacentral:rRNA from 1 species
GUGUCAGCAGCCGCGGUAAUACGUAGGCAGCAAGCGUUGUUCGGAGUUACUGGGCGUAAAGAGUGUGUAGGCGGUUUGCCAAGUUUGGUGUGAAAUCUCCCGGCUUAACUGGGAGGGUGCGCCGAAUACUGGCAGGCUAGAGUAUGGGAGAGGGAAGCGGAAUUCCUGGUGUAGCGGUGAAAUGCGUAGAUAUCAGGAGGAACACCUGUGGUGUAGACGGCUUCCUGGACCAUCACUGACGCUGAGACACGAAAGCGUGGGUAGCAAACAGGAUUAGAAACCCCGGUAGUCC